GAUGAACGCUGGCGGCGUGCUUAACACAUGCAAGUCGAACGGGAAACCUUUUAUUGAAGCUUCGGCAGAUUUAGCUGGUUUCUAGUGGCGGACGGGGGAGUAACGCGUGGGUAACCUGCCUUAUACAGGGGGAUAACAACCAGAAAUGGUUGCUAAUACCGCAUAAGCGCACAGGACCGCAUGGUCCGGUGUGAAAAACUCCGGUGGUAUAAGAUGGACCCGCGUUGGAUUAGCUAGUUGGCAGGGUAACGGCCUACCAAGGCGACGAUCCAUAGCCGGCCUGAGAGGGUGAACGGCCACAUUGGGACUGAGACACGGCCCAGACUCCUACGGGAGGCAGCAGUGGGGAAUAUUGCACAAUGGGGGAAACCCUGAUGCAGCGACGCCGCGUGAAGGAAGAAGUAUCUCGGUAUGUAAACUUCUAUCAGCAGGGAAGAUAGUGACGGUACCUGACUAAGAAGCCCCGGCUAACUACGUG
rnacentral:rRNA from 1 species